rnacentral:tRNA from 1 species
GGAGACGUGCCAGAGAGGCCGAAUGGGCAUCACUGCUAAUGAUGUAGGGGUUAACGCCCCUCGAGGGUUCGAAUCCCUCCGUCUCCG